UACAGAGGGGGCAAGCGUUGUUCGGAAUUAUUGGGCGUAAAGCGCGCGCAGGCGGUCCCUUAAGUCUGAUGUGAAAGCCCACGGCUCAACCGUGGAGGGUCAUUGGAAACUGGGGGACUUGAGUACAGAAGAGGAAAGCGGAAUUCCACGUGUAGCGGUGAAAUGCGUAGAGAUGUGGAGGAACACCAGUGGCGAAGGCGGCUUUCUGGUCUGUAACUGACGCUGAGGCGCGAAAGCGUGGGGAGCAAACAGG
rnacentral:rRNA from 1 species